CGUGGUCCUUGGGGAGCAGGGUGUGGGCAGCGGUGAGGAUCCAGCGGUCCCCCAGCAGGGCCCCGCCGCCCGGGCCGUAGAGGACCUGAGACUGGCCCAGGGGGCCCCGCUCACCUGGCAGACACCGCGGGACCUUCUCCCCCUCCUGCCCGUUCUUCCAGAUGCCCUGGGCGGUGCAGGUGAACAGCCCUGUGAGAGAGGCCCACGGUCAGAGGGGCGACGCGAGAGCGCAGGGCAGAGGCCGAGUGCGCCCAGCGGCUGGACGGACGGGGGACAGGGGUCAUGGAAGCGGGGAGGACAGGGAUCAAAGUUCACCGGUUCAAAGCGGUGUGGAUUAGUAUCGAAAGUGCCGCGAGGAUCCAUCCGUAUAUUUUUGUUUUAAUGUCAAGUUAAAAAAAUCAGAACACUUAACUGUAUGUUUGAGAUAGGCCUAUUUGAGAAAACAGAAAUAAACACCAGCAGGAAUGUA